rnacentral:lncRNA from 1 species
ACCAGCCAGGCGGGGGCCAGGGAUCGCCUCCCGAGAGGUGCCCGGGCCGUGGCCCAGAGUCGCUUCCCCACUGCCCCGCCCUCCAGCCAGCCCCUGCCCGACCUCGCAGACCACCUCAGUGCGCAGGCGACUGCCCUCGCCAGGCCGCGCCGCCCUGCCUCGCUCACCCCGCCCCGCGCUGACCCCAGCCCCAGCAAGGAGUCCGACCAGACGGCAAUCGACCAGACGGCGAUCGGGAGCUACUACCAGCUGUUCGCAGCGGCUGUGGGCAACGUGGAAUGGCUGCGAUUCUGUCUGAACCAGAGCCUCAGGGAAAUCCCCACCGACGACAAGGGCUUCACUGCCAUCCACUUCGCCGCCCAAUGGGGCAAGCUUGCAUGCCUGCAGGUCCUGGUAGAGGAGUACAAGUUUCCCGUGGACCUGCUGACCAACAAUAGCCAGACACCCCUGCACCUCGUCAUCCACAGGGACAACACCACCGUGGCCCUCCCCUGCAUCUACUACCUGCUGGAGAAAGGCGCAGACCUCAAUGCUCAGACAUGCAACGGCUCCACGCCCCUGCACC